rnacentral:rRNA from 1 species
UACGUAGGGCGCAAGCGUUAUCCGGAAUUAUUGGGCGUAAAGAGCUCGUAGGCGGUCUGUCGCGUCUGCCGUGAAAACCCGAGGCUUAACCUCGGGCUGGCGGUGGAUACGGGCAGACUAGAGGUAGGUAGGGGAGAAUGGAAUUCCCGGUGUAGCGGUGAAAUGCGCAGAUAUCGGGAGGAACACCGGUGGCGAAGGCGGUUCUCUGGGCCGGAUACUGACGCUGAGGAGCGAAAGCGUGGGGAGCGAACAGG